GACGAACGCUGGCGGCGUGCUCAACACAUGCAAGUCUAACGGAAAGGCCCUGCUUUUGUGGGGUGCUCGAGUGGCGAACGGGUGAGUAACACGUGAGUAACCUGCCCUUGACUUUGGGAUAACUUCAGGAAACUGGGGCUAAUACCGGAUAGGAGCUCCUGCUGCAUGGUGGGGGUUGGAAAGUUUCGGCGGUUGGGGAUGGACUCGCGGCUUAUCAGCUUGUUGGUGGGGUAGUGGCUUACCAAGGCUUUGACGGGUAGCCGGCCUGAGAGGGUGACCGGCCACAUUGGGACUGAGAUACGGCCCAGACUCCUACGGGAGGCAGCAGUGGGGAAUAUUGCACAAUGGGCGGAAGCCUGAUGCAGCAACGCCGCGUGCGGGAUGACGGCCUUCGGGUUGUAAACCGCUUUCGCCUGUGACGAAGCGUGAGUGACGGUAAUGGGUAAAGAAGCACCGGCUAACUACGUG
rnacentral:rRNA from 1 species